rnacentral:rRNA from 1 species
UACGUAGGGGGCUAGCGUUGUCCGGAAUCAUUGGGCGUAAAGAGCGUGUAGGCGGUCAGGUAGGUCCGUUGUGAAAACUCGAGGCUCAACCUCGAGACGCCGAUGGAAACCAUCUGACUAGAGUCCGGAAGAGGCGAGUGGAAUUCCUGGUGUAGCGGUGAAAUGCGCAGAUAUCAGGAGGAACACCCGUGGCGAAGGCGGCUCUCUGGGACGGUACUGACGCUGAGACGCGAAAGCGUGGGGAGCGAACAGG